CGCCCCUGGCAAUGGGUAAGGGGACAUCUCAUUGGUGGUGUUGCUCUUCCGUCAGCCAGGGGCAGAGCAGGUGCAGUCCUUUGUUCACCCUAGCUUGAUGCCUGUUGGUGGCCAGAGCUGUUUCAGGCUUAGGACACAGAC